GGAUAACAGCACAGGUAUCAGACACAAAUUAAUGGCUAUUUAUAACCACAGUGUAUUGUAAUGCACUGUUUUUACAAUUUAAACUCUUUAAGCUGACCAUUGUGUUAACUGACAGUUUUAUUUUAAUCAUUUUUAUAGUUCCACCAAUAAAAAAACGAGGCCGUGGGCCUGCUAAGGGUACACUUUUUGAACGUUUACGAAAGAUGGGUAAGAUCCCUUUAACUAUAAAGGAUGGGCAUAGAGGCCCAUCAUGCGAGAAUGCCAUGUUGUUCAUUACUCGGGUGAGCUGGAUUAUAAGAGUACAUGCGGAUAUGAGACAUGCAAGUUGGAGUGUCGUAGAUGACAAGGAGAAGCAUGAGCUCAUCAAUCGUGUUAGAGUAGGGGUUUAAUAAUGCUUCCUAUUGCUAGUUAUUUAUGAUUACUUAUGUUGUAUUUUCGAAUGACAAGAAGAUGUGAUAUGAUACAAUAUCCACGCAGGCUGAUUUCGUGUUGGAUUGGACUAGAGAGAACCAUAGGGAAGCUGUAGCAAACGCACUAGCUGAUCGGUACAACGCCUACCACUAUGAAUUACACAAGCACUAAAAGAAAUUUGCAUCGCAUGAGGAGGCAUUAGCUGGUCGGAAGGAAUGGGUGGAGCCACAUGUAUGGGAGUGGCUAUGUCAAAUGUGGGCCAGCCCCAAAUUCAAGGAGCAGUCUCGUAGGAACAGCAAUAAUAGGUCAAAACAGAAGGUUAGGCAUACAAGUGGGAGAAAAUCUUUUGUACGGCUUAUGGAAGAGAGGGGUGAGGAGGCACCGAAUAUGAUAGAAUUUUACAAAGAAACACACUGGUCAUCCAAGAAGGGGAAAUUCAUCAAUGCAGCAAGUGAACAUAAU